CAGACCGUUGCUUCUGUACAGCAACGUCUUAGCUUUAUUUAGCUCCUUUUAUGUGGGAAACAAGAUCGUUAGCAAAGAACAUCUGGCAAAGAGCCACAUAAAGAGACUUUGGACCAGAUGACCAAAUGCUUGCCCAAAAAGACUGGAGAGUGGCAGGCGAAAGAGGAGGGGUCCGACAGCGACAGCAGCAACACCAGGAACAGCUGGACACAGCUCCACCCUGGUCUGGGGUCUCCGGUUUGAUGUUCCACUGCUAAACCCUCUCAAGGAUGAUGAAAGGCUUCCUCUCUUUCUCCUCUACUGCAACAUCAUUGAUCCCCUCGCUGAUAACAAAAGGCUUUCUCCCUAUCCUCUGCUGCCACACUGCUGAUCCCCUUAAGAAUGAAGAGCAUCCUGUCUCUGCUACAGUGCUACACUGCCUGUCCUCUCAUUGACAGCAAUAAACUUCAAAUGGAAGUGCAUUUUCUAUUGCACUGGUCGAAAUGUUAUAAAACUGCUUUAUUUCACUUUCAGGGUUUUAACAACAAUAUUUUGCAUUUAUUUGUCAUCCUUGAGGCUAUAAAAUAUGCUAAGAUGUUUCACGGGAGUGUUAUCAAACAAGAUUGGGCAUGAAGCCACAUAAAGUAUUAUUAGGGCAGAUAGCUAAAGGCUUGGUCAAAGUUGUAGAAGGAAUACCUUAAUAAGAACACAAGAAUACGAGAAUAGGAGCUGGAAUAGGCCGAUAAAGCCUGUUCUGCCAUUCAGUACAGAAUCAUCGAAUCGUUAUGGUGCAGAAAACUAAACAUAUUCAACAUUGGAACAGCCACAACUCUCUGGAUGACAAAAUCCACAAUAUUUUGAGUGAAGAGAUUUCUCCUCAUCAUUUUCUUUUUGAAACUGUGCUCUCAUGUUCUGAUCAAGGAAAACAAUCCCCCAGUCUCUAUCUUGAUAUGCUCCAUCAGAACCUUGUCUAUUACAGUAUGAUUUUCUCUAAGUCUUCUAAAUUCCAGGACGUAUAAGCCCAAUUAACUCAGCCUUACAUCAUAAAAUAACCAUCAUCCCAAGGACCUGCACUGAGCGAUCUCCAACAUCAAGUAUUUCUUUCCUCAAGUUAAAGAAAAACUGCAAUGCAAUUUUUCAGGUCUCUUUCAUCAAUUGUACCGAGACUUCCUUAAUCAUGCCCUCCAGUAUUCUUUGCUAAUUGCUUGUUGUUCUUGCAAGGUAACGUCCUGUGUUCCUGAUACAACUCCACUCAAAUAUCCCUGAAAAGCAACAUUUGGGGGUGUCUGAAGGAAAAAGGGUGGGGUAGAGAUUUGGGAAAGGAGCUACAGAGCUUAGAGCCAAGGCAGUUGAAGGUAUGACCAAAAAUAGUGGAGCUGGAAAAGCAUCGAGAAUUUAAAUAAUAAAGUGGAAAGACAGAAAUGCCUGCACUUAUAUAGAGUGUAGAAGCUUUGCAUAAUGCAUCACCCAAUUAAUUUAUUUUUGGGUUUAGU